UGGGCGUAAAGGGCGCGUAGGCGGCCCUCCUUGUCGCGUGUGAAAGCCCCGGGCUCAACCUGGGAAUUGCGCGCGAAACGGGAGGGCUCGAGUUCGGGAGAGGAGCGUGGAAUUCCCAGUGUAGAGGUGAAAUUCGUAGAUAUUGGGAAGAACACCGGUGGCGAAGGCGGCGCUCUGGACCGAGACUGACGCUGAGGCGCGAAAGCGUGGGGAGCAAACAGG
rnacentral:rRNA from 1 species